CCCUAAUUCGAGAUUAGCCGGUGAAAAUGAGACAAUCCGCGCUACCUGGGAGGAGUUCAGGACACGGAAACAAACGUGUUCGGUCGGGGUUAAAGUGCUGUAUCGUUUGGAAACUGAAUGGAAAUUCCCCCACCUGAGGAAGCUCCUGGGUCCCAUCUGGGGGGUCCUAAGUAGGCUUGGGAAAAAGCUAUUUUCCUGAAGACUGCACCCCCACGCUGAGUCUCUUCCGCUCCAGCCUUCUGGCACUCUCCCCAGAUGACCUAACCCUCAACCCCUUCCUUCAAAAUGCUGUGGACUCUGACCUGGCCAUGCCGAACGUCGCUCAUGUCAAACCACAGGUCCUGCGUUCGCUGGUCCUCAGGGCCAAAGCUUCGCCAUGUGUAGUACUUGCUAGAGGCCUCCUUAAAGGCAG